AAAAGUGAGAGAAAGGGAAACACAUGAUAGGAAAGACUAAAGAGACAGAGAGUUUAGCAUUUUAUUUGCUAAAAUUGAUUAUCUGAAUGCAACUUUUUCUCAAGAUCCAAUUUCUUUAGAUAUCAGGGUGUCGGGUUUGAUUUUGAUGGAGGGUUUGUGAUUUUCUGAAGAUGAUGUAAUCAGUAAUCAUGUUACAAGUAGCUAGUCUACUAGAAGUAGAUUAUUGAAUUAAUCAAUUUGUCCCUACCAAGGAAUCUUUACAGGUGAUAUUUACACCACUCUUCGUCAAGGGCCGGCUGAGCGAGGGAGAAUUACUACGAAAACAUAUUUCACACCUCAGUCUAGUCAAAUAACUUAAAGAGAAGAAGAAUCAAUUAGUAGUGCUCCAUUUUCAUCUCCAUCAAAUGUUGUAAAUGAUGAAGUACCAGAUGUAACUUUGAACAUGAAGAAGUUGUAGAAAUGGAUACUCAAAAUGAUCUUGAGACGGGUAGAGGCAUUGCAUGAUGGUAUGCGCUGAAAGUAUCCUUGCCCGAAAAAUCAGUAUUGAUGGGGUAAUUGAUUUGUUUAUUUAUCUAAAAGAACGAAAAGUACGACUAGAGGAAUAAGUGAUGAUCUAAAUAUUAGUUAAUGGGUUUUGUUGGUAAAUCUGGUUUUGGUAUAUUUGAAUCAACCUGACUGCUACUACAUACAUAUUAUAUAUAUGAAAACAUUUUUGCACU